rnacentral:lncRNA from 1 species
GCAGCUUAUAAUUACAGGCAAAGUUAAAAUAAUUCAUUUAUGUAAAGUAUUGUGACCAAACACCUGAGCUCAAAUAUUCUGUGAAUCCAUGGCUCAAGUAAAAAGGAGUUUAAUGCCUAGAGAUUAUGUAUUUGAGUCAUGAAGGCAAGCUUAAUUUAAGAAGAUAAAAAACAGAUUAUGUGGCAAUGUUGGGCAUUCAAGUACCUGUUGAGGUUGUUAGGCAGAAUUGUAUUAGUUUGAACGAUGGUGGCUUCAUGUUGAUGCAUGGUCAUCCUUUUGGCACUAGGGAAGCUAGCUAGAUUCAUUCAAUACAGUUAUGUGUUGCUAUCACAAAAAAAGGUAAUAGGUAGUGAAUUACUUCUGACAUUUUACCAAAUUUGAUAUUACAUUUUUCCAUUACUGGAAAAAACAAGCACAAAUGCAUUUGAAUACACAGGGUAUCUUGGCACUUUGGUGAUUCGUACAGGAAAUUUUAUAUGACUUUAUCAGCUAAUAAGAAAGAAACUGGUCUUCAAAAAAUAACAGUUAUAAAACCUCUCUUGUUUGGUGAUAAGGGAUAUAAGAAGACUCUUAAAUAUGGCAAUUUUAAUUUUCCAAAGCAUGAGCACGAAGUAUGUUCAUUUUAUUCAUGUGUUUUAUACUUUGCACGACACUGCGAUCCAAAUGAUGAGGAGAGGCCAUCCCAGUGGAACAGAAGGGCUGGUCUGUGUGUGUGGGUCUGCGGAGCAAGUGUGAAUAAGAGUGAUGAAGAAGCAAGUGCAGAAGAGUUAAGACUAAAGGUAAGAGAUGGAAGGGCCUUCUAACAUCUGACAGGAGGAUGGUGUGGCUAGCGCAGAUUGGAGGUUUGGGGGAGGGAUGCCAGAUGAGGCUGGCAGGAAGGCGGAGUCUUAAAAAUCACCCCUUUAUGUUAAGGCAAUGUGUGGCAGUUUCAGGGUUUUAAGCCGGAGAGUGACAUUAUCGUAUCUGUGCUUUAGGAAGCCCACCCUACUGAAAUGGACAGGGAAAUGGUGGGAAAUGGACUGGAGGAAAGAAGACUGGAGGCAAGGAGAGCAAAUGGGGGCUACUGAAGAGGUUGAUGUGUGACAGUCAUGGGUCCCAUUUAAACAUAAGUUGAGCUAGCUGACCACACAUCAGUUUUAGUAAGACAUGCUUAAUUCAUCACACUCUGUAUCAUGAGAUUACUUCUUCAAUACUGGUCAUUGUAAGUAACAGAAGUAUCCACAUUUUCUGUAGUCAGGAAUUAAAUGAACAGUGAACGGGCCAACAAGUGACACACUCUAGGCACUCAUUUAACUUGGUCAUGUGCAAAAUUAUUUUAGAAAAAUCCAAUUAAAAAAAGAUUUUUGAGAGAUACAGAGAUAGAUGGAUAGCUAGAGAGAAAUGUAAUAUAAUUUGACUAAGAUAGGAAAACGUUUUGCACUAAGCAAAGGAUACAUAUUUUUGUACUCUGUAAAGUCCUAAAGCAAUAUCUAAACUUUUCUUGUUGUUUCUUGUUAUUGGACAAAAACAAAGAGAGACUGUUUAAGAAAAUACAAUGUGAAAUUGUUCAGUGCUGCAGCACAUCUAAAAGGAUUUAUUGUGAUUUUUGACAUCUUUAUGCAAACCUAAGAACUCUCCCACCCAGGGAUUAAUAAAAUGUUGCAAAGAUGUAUAUUUACUCAGGUAUAUUCAGGAUAUCAUCAAACAGUAAUGUGCUUUUAAAAGAGUGGAGAUUGCAUAUUUAAUUUUUUAAAAUGUUUCUAUUUAUUUUUGAGGGGAGGAGGAAAGGGCAGGGAGAGAUACACACACAGAAUCUGAAGCAGGCUCCAGGCUCUGAGCUUACAGCAGAGCCUAACACGGGGCUCGAACUCACAAGCCAUGAGAUCAUGACCUGAGACGAAGUCGGAUGCUCAACUGACUGAACCACCCAGGUGUCCCUGGAGAUGGCAUAUUUAGAGCUUGGUUAAAAAAACAAAAACAGUUGCUUCCGUUGCAUUUCACUUGUUUUUAACUUGUCAGAGGAUAAAACUCUAAUGGGGGAAAGUUGGAGUAAGGUAAGGUAGAGUAAGGCAGACUCACUGCAAUAUUUAUCUUCUUGCUCAAAGUUUGGAGACUCUUGCUACUUAAUGAGACAUUGUUUUGUUUCAAUAUUCAAAAAUAGUUAACAUGUUACAUACAAAAUAUUGAAGGAUAUUCAGCUGUGUAAGCAAACCUAAAAGGUACAGAAUGAACUUCUUUCUAGAAGACUACAGCAUCCCAGGGAGUACAGAUGACUACUGAAAGUCUUCUUUCAAUUUUAAUCUUCGCAUUUUUCCUUUUUUCUCCUCUUCAGGAAUAAAACCUCAAAUCUUAGACGCUUCUAUGAUGGAAGUCAUCACAAAAUUUUGAAGACACGAUGAGAAUUAUUUCUUGAACAACACAGAGCAGAGAUGUUGAUGUUCAUCAAUGAUGAAGAGCAUGAACUUGAUUGAGAGAACUGUAAGGGUUCCUUUGAAGACUCUCCUUGCAAUAUCAGAUUAAUGUCCCAAUGUGAAUAAUAUAUUGAUAAUAUAUUACUGAGACACAGAAGAAUGACUGAUGCUCAAUUACUUUAAAUACAUCUUUGGAAGUAGAUACUGAAUUUAAUGAAGAGUCUUUUAAAAACUACCACACUCUUGUAAAACUGUCCUGGGUAGGUGAGUGUGGGGGUUUUAAAGAGAGAAGAAGCAAUGCUUUACUAAGGAACAGCUAAAUUGCCAUGGAUAGUACAGUGCCCCAAAUGGAAAAAGCUUUUUAAACUUAUACAACAACAUCUUCUCCUCAUAAGAAACACUAAAAAAGUUAUGUUUAAAGUACAG